rnacentral:misc_RNA from 1 species
GGCUAGUAAAACUUAAGGACGAUCUAACAAAAUGCUCAUUAGGGUUGAAGGGGUUUUGCUCUUGAGAGAAAGGAGAACUGGAGUAAUGACGAAACAAUCUAAAGACAGGGUUUUGCGUUUUUUGGGAGAUGAAAUGAGAACAAACACAAGAAGGAGACAGGUUUGACAGCUUAGAAGAGAGCGCACGCGAUAUCAGAAUAGAAGACAUCCUCCUGGCUUAACCACUUGGAGAAUUAGA